AACGAACGCUGGCGGCAUGCCUAACACAUGCAAGUCGAACGAGACCUUCGGGUCUAGUGGCGCACGGGUGCGUAACGCGUGGGAAUCUGCCCUUGGGUUCGGAAUAACAGUUAGAAAUGACUGCUAAUACCGGAUAAUGUCUUCGGACCAAAGAUUUAUCGCCCAGGGAUGAGCCCGCGUAGGAUUAGCUAGUUGGUGAGGUAAAGGCUCACCAAGGCGACGAUCCUUAGCUGGUCUGAGAGGAUGAUCAGCCACACUGGGACUGAGACACGGCCCAGACUCCUACGGGAGGCAGCAGUGGGGAAUAUUGGACAAUGGGCGAAAGCCUGAUCCAGCAAUGCCGCGUGAGUGAUGAAGGCCUAGGGUUGUAAAGCUCUUUACCCGGGAUGAUAAUGACAGUACCGGGAGAAUAAGCCCCGGCUAACUCCGUGCCAGCAGCCGCGGUAAU
rnacentral:rRNA from 1 species